rnacentral:lncRNA from 1 species
GGAAGUAGCCCCUUGAGACUAUUUGUACUUUUUUUUUUUCAAACAGUGGGGCUCCAGAGCCUGUACAUGUUGCUGGGUGUGCAGUAAACACACAGAAAACAGUAUAUGCCCACCCUGCUCGUGAGGAGGGAGUUGCUGAGUCUACACUCUGUGCCAUCUACCAUGCAAUUCACCACAGUAAUUUCGAAUAGCUUCUUGGGUCUUGCAUCAUUUGUGAAAGUGAAGCAAACCUUCCUCUACUGUACAGAGGCUCUAAGAGGAGGCAUGUGGUAA